CGGGGGGAGCAAGCGUUGUUCGGAUUUACUGGGCGUAAAGGGCGCGUAGGCGGCCAGCGCAAGUCAGUUUGUGAAAUCUCCGGGCUAAAACUCCGGAAAGGUCAACUGAUACUGCGCGGCUAGAGUGCAGAAGGGGCAACUGGAAUUCUCGGUGUAGCGGUGAAAUGCGUAGAUAUCGAGAGGAACACCUGCGGCGAAGGCGGGUUGCUGGGCUGACACUGACGCUGAUGCGCGAAAGCCAGGGGAGCGAACGAGAUUAGAUACCCCGGUAGUCCUGGCCUUAAACGAUGGAUGCUUGGUGUCUGGAGUUUUAUAGUCUCCGGGUGCCGUAGCUAACGCGUUAAGCAUCCCGCCUGGGGAGUACGGGUCGCAAGACUAG
rnacentral:rRNA from 1 species